GGGAAAGUGGCUUAGUGGUAGAGUGCUUGCCUUGCAUGCAUGAGGCCCUGGGUUCGAUUCCUCAGCACCCCA
rfam:Dipodomys ordii contig_25892, whole genome shotgun sequence.